GAUGAGCGCUAGCUACAGGCUUAACACAUGCAAGUCGAGGGGAAACGGCAUUUAGUGCUUGCACCGAAUGGACGUCGACCGGCGCACGGGUGAGUAACGCGUAUCCAACCUACCCAUUACUGUGGGAUAACCUGCCGAAAGGCAGACUAAUACCGCAUAGUCUUCGAUGACGGCAUCAGAUUUGAAGUAAAGAUUUAUCGGUAAUGGAUGGGGAUGCGUCUGAUUAGCUUGUAGGCGGGGUAACGGCCCACCAAGGCAACGAUCAGUAGGGGUUCUGAGAGGAAGGUCCCCCACAUUGGAACUGAGAUACGGUCCAAACUCCUACGGGAGGCAGCAGUGAGGAAUAUUGGUCAAUGGGCGCGAGCCUGAACCAGCCAAGUAGCGUGCAGGAUGACGGCCCUAUGGGUUGUAAACUGCUUUUGUAUGGGGAUAAAGUCAAUCACGUGUGAUUGUUUGCAGGUACCAUACGAAUAAGGACCGGCUAAUUCCGUGCCAGCAGCCGCGGUAAUACGGAAGGUCCGGGCGUUAUCCGGAUUUAUUGGGUUUAAAGGGAGCGUAGGCCGGAGAUUAAGUGUGUUGUGAAAUGUAGACGCUCAACGUCUGACUUGCAGCGCAUACUGGUUUCCUUGAGUACGCACAACGUUGGCGGAAUUCGUCGUGUAGCGGUGAAAUGCUUAGAUAUGACGAAGAACUCCGAUUGCGAAGGCAGCUGACGGGAGCGCAACUGACGCUUAAGCUCGAAGGUGCGGGUAUCGAACAGG
rnacentral:rRNA from 1 species